GACGAACGCUGGCGGCGUGCUUAACACAUGCAAGUCGAACGAAGUGGCGAACGGGUGAGUAAUGCGUAAUCAACCUGCCCUUCAGAGGGGGACAACAGUUGGAAACGACUGCUAAUACCGCAUAAGGAAGGAGGGGAUUGAGUGUGAUUUGCUAGUUGGGGGGGUAACGGCCGACCCAGGCGAUGCUCAGUAGCCGGUCUGGGCGGAGGAACGGCCACAUUGGGAAUGGGACACGGCCCAGACUCCUACGGGAGGCAACAGUGGGGAAUCUUCCGAAAUUGACGAAAGUCUGACUGAGCAACGCCGCGUGAUUGAUGACGGCCUUCGGGUUGUAAAGCUCUGUUAAUCGGGACGCGGUACCGGAAUAGAAAGCCACGGCUAACUACGUGCCAGCAGCCGCGGUAAUAC
rnacentral:rRNA from 1 species